AUCCAGCUGACAUGUCUCAAACAGGACGAAAUGCGCGUCCUGGAU
rnacentral:hammerhead_ribozyme from 1 species